UGCAUUUUUCUUCCUUUGACCCUUAUCCACAUCCACCAGUAUGAGUUAACGAAAUUCCGGAAGAAAAGGGAUUUAAUCCCUCAAGCCUUGUGCCGAUAAAUGGAUUUACAUACCAUUCAAACCCUCCAUCGCAAAAAUUCUAAACUCUAUUAUAUCACAUUCUUGUUCGAGUAGCCGCCACCAUCAAUUCCCGGAUCAGCAAUUAGCAAUUAUUCGGGUAGUCGUCGUUGCUCUUGACGUUGAUACAGUUUCACAUUGUUGCCGCCAUCAAUCCGGACCAGUUCGCUGCCACAAACAUCCGCAUUGCAACCGCCGUGACACCAGCGUAACACUCAGUUCCGUUCCGUCGCGCCGCACACCAUCGGAAGUUGCCGCUGGGUCGAACUUUGAUAAGCCAUACAACCACCGGAGGCUCGCCGUCGCACUUCGCUGUGACAACCGCCGCCCUUCGACUAACGAUUCAGGAACGUAAACCCCCACUGCCGCUCACCAUAGUGCGGUUCCGUUUGACUACCCGCUACUGUGCUCGUUAGUCUCCAUCCAAACCUUUUGGCGAUUAAGGUUCUUGACUUUCUGAGAUCGACUUGAUUAUUGGUUUUGCUUUGCUUGCUAAUAAGGUAAUUUGGGUAACGUGGGGAAUACGUGAAGAGUGUCGUGAAGAUGAAGAUUUAUUUUUAUUUCGGUAAUGUAAUGAAAAUGUAAUUAGGAUCUUUUGUUUUCAUCGUUAUGGAUUGGUUUUAGUUUUGAUAUCUGUAUGGGUGACACGUCAGCCUGUUCAGGUUGGGGUGUUACAUUAUAGAUGGCUAGACACAUUUAAGAUCUUUCAUUGGUGAUCAUCUUAUAAUAUUCUUUAUUGCUUUUAAG